CAGGUAAUAGUUUAAUAAAAAUAUUAACUUUGGGAGUUAAAGAUCGGGAUAAGCUCGUUACCUGA
rnacentral:tRNA from 1 species